GGGGCUAGCGUUGUUCGGAAUCACUGGGCGUAAAGCGUAUGUAGGCGGAUUGUUAAGUCAGGGGUGAAAUCCCGAGGCUCAACCUCGGAACUGCCUUUGAUACUGGCUGUCUUGAGUCCGGGAGAGGUGAGUGGAACUCCUAGUGUAGAGGUGAAAUUCGUAGAUAUUAGGAAGAACACCAGUGGCGAAGGCGGCUCACUGGCCCGGAACUGACGCUGAAAUACGAAAGCGUGGGGAGCAAACAGG
rnacentral:rRNA from 1 species